rnacentral:rRNA from 1 species
AGUCGAACGAACAAAUUGCUGCUGCUUAAUUUUAGUGAGUGGCAAUGAGUAACACGUGGGAAUCUACCUAUCAGUACGGAAUAACAUUUGGAAACAGAUGCUAAUACCGUAUAUUCUCCAAGGGAGGAAAGAUUUAUCGCUAGAUAGAUGAGCCCGCGCAAGAUUAGGUAGUUGGUAGGGUAAUGGCCUACCAAGCCGACAAUCUUUAGCUGGUCUGAGAGGAUGAUCAGCCACACUGGGACUGAGACACGGCCCAGACUCCUACGGGAGGCAGCAGUGGGGAAUAUUGGACAAUGGGCGAAAGCCUGAUCCAGCAAUACCGCGUGAGUGAUGAAGGCCUUAGGGUUGUAAAGUACUUUUAGUUGGAAAGAUAAUGACGGUACCAACAGAAAAAGCCCCGGCAUAACUCCGUGCCA